GCCGCUGUGGCUUAGAGGCAUAGCGGCGGUUUCGUAAACCGCAGGUCGAGGGUUCGAAUCCCUCCAGCGGCU
rnacentral:tRNA from 1 species